UCAGGCCUAACACAUGCAAGUCGAGGGGUAGGAUUAGCUUGCUAAUCUGAGACCGGCGCACGGGUGCGUAACGCGUAUGCAAUCUACCUUUUACAGGGGGAUAGCCCAGAGAAAUUUGGAUUAAUACCCCAUAGUAUCUUCGGAAGGCAUCUUCUGAUUAUUAAAGUUCCAACGGUAAAAGAUGAGCAUGCGUCCUAUUAGCUAGAUGGUAAGGUAACGGCUUACCAUGGCUACGAUAGGUAGGGGUCCUGAGAGGGAGAUCCCCCACACUGGUACUGAGACACGGACCAGACUCCUACGGGAGGCAGCAGUGAGGAAUAUUGGUCAAUGGGCGCAAGCCUGAAACAGCCAUGCCGCGUGCAGGAAGACGGUCCUAUGGAUUAAAGGUGCUUUUGUACGGGAAGAAACACUCCUACGGUAGGAGCUG
rnacentral:rRNA from 1 species